rnacentral:rRNA from 1 species
AUCGAACGCUGGCGGCAUGCCUUACACAUGCAAGUCGAACGGCAGCACGGGGAGGGGCAACUCUUCCUGGUGGCGAGUGGCGAACGGGUGAGUAAUGCAUCGGAACGUGUCCUCUUGUGGGGGAUAACCAGUCGAAAGACUGGCUAAUACCGCAUGAGAUCGAAAGAUGAAAGCGGGGGACCGCAAGGCCUCGCGCGAGAGGAGCGGCCGAUGCCGGAUUAGCUAGUUGGUGGGGUAAAGGCCUACCAAGGCGACGAUCCGUAGCUGGUCUGAGAGGACGACCAGCCACACUGGGACUGAGACACGGCCCAGACUCCUACGGGAGGCAGCAGUGGGGAAUUUUGGACAAUGGGCGCAAGCCUGAUCCAGCCAUGCCGCGUGUGUGAAGAAGGCCUUCGGGUUGUAAAGCACUUUCGGACGGAACGAAAUCGCGCGCAUGAAUAAUGCGCGUGGAUGACGGUACCGUAAGAAGAAGCACCGGCUAACUACGUGCCAGCCGCCGCCGUAACAC